UUUUUUUUUUUUUUUUUUUUUUACAGAAGAAAGCCAAAUGAUUAAAGAAGAAGAAACCCAUUAUUUUAUUUCUUUUUAAAAUUUAUAUAUUCUAUAUUCUUUAAGGAACAAAUGCCUUUACGGACCAGAAAUCUUUUCACUUCUUCAUUUUCAUCUCAGAAAAGAAUAUACAUUUUCAUCUAUAAAUAUUUUAAUAAUUAUUUUAUGUAGUAUUUAAUAUGUCUUCUACCUGUAAUAGUAAUUUAGGUAUUGGUACAUUAUGUAUCACAAGAGUGUGUUCUCUUAGGCACUCUGAAUAGCUGUUCCACCAAUUGAAUAUUUCCUUUAAUGUAUGUUUUUAGCACAGUCAAGGUAUUCUUUCUUUCUUUCUCUGGUGGGGAAGCACAUGCUAACACUGUGCUGGGAAUGCUGGGAAUAGUUUUGUGGCACCUGCCUUGCUCUGUGCUUGAGGUGUCAUUCUAAAGAUGGGCAUAGGUAUCAUUCAGAGAUGGGCAAUCAGCCUAAAGGCAACCUUUGCUCUUACACCACCCAGCUGCUCAUUUUCCUGUGAUUCCCAUUACCCCUGUGAAGGUAUGUAGGGCUCACUGCUUGCUGCUUCUCACCCCACAGUUUGCCAAAACAGAAACUGGAGGAGAGAGGUGAGAGGAAUUUGGAGAUGGAAAAGCACCAUCCCCAUGCGAUGGGGAGGAAAAGACCCUCCAUCCCUCCAUGGGUUUCCUCCCUGUGCAUUAUGUGGAUUUUCACUUUUUUCAUCCAUCCUCUGAAGAGGACCCACUUGUCACCUCAGAAAUUCUAAUUUCCACUUGCCACAGCUCCUUCUGCUAAAAGGUUACUGAGAUGUAGAGGGAGUCUUGGGCCAGCAUGAGAGAAGACAGGUGAUGGUGCUUCCUGGUGGCUUCUGCCAUGAAGCUGAGCUCCUGAAGCCAUAAACACAGGUGUCCUUAGCAAACUAUUGGGCACUACAAUAUAAGAAAGGUAUAAAGCCAUUAUAAAGUGUCUAAGGGAGGGCAAUGAAAAUGGUGAAGGGCCUUGAGGGGAGGCUGUGUGAGGAAUGGCUGAGGUCACUUGGCUUGUUUAACAUAUUUUUGUAGCUCUAAUGGAGACAUGGGAAGCAGCAAUAGCUACGCCAGUUAAGGUGGCUAACCUGCUGACGCACAAUGAGCCAUUCUUCUCUUACAUGACCUGGACACUUUUGGGGAUGCUGGAUCCAGUGGCAGACAAACAAGCCUGUUUGGCUUACUGGGAGCAAAAAUUCAGUCCAAAAACAUCCGCAGCAGCAUUUUCUUUGGUUCCCAUUGACAAAAUCAGCACUGAACAAACUCCUAAGAAGCAUCUAGAAGCCAAAUGGGAAAAGCAAAAAAGAAAAUAAUCAAGAAAUUCUUGGUUUCCUAUGUAGUUGGGCACUAUGGCUUUAUGAAAAAGCUAAGAUCAUAAAUAAACUUUUCUUGGGUUUGAUUUCUUUUUCCACAUCUAUUGUUGAAGUAUCUUGAACCUUAAUUUAAGGCCUUGAUGGAAAUUUAAGGAUUUUGAUUUUUGAACUUGCAGUGGCAGCUAGAUUUCUGAGCACAUGUAAGCUUCCACAAGAGCAAAAAUAUUUUGUGUUGCCCCAGUUCCCAAAGCAUGAACUAAUUUGUCCUGGAUUUUAUAUCCUACAUAUUUCUCCUGCUUUGCCUCAGAUGUGGGGACAUUAUUGACCUUUCACACACAGAUAUGAGUGGCUGCCUUAGCUUUUAUUAACAUAUGUAGUUAUCUGUUUGCAACUUCUGUUCUUACAAACAUACCUCAAAUGUGAGAGGCUGAGUCUUUAACGAGCCCAUGGCUAUGGAUGAUAAGGCAUACUUCCUGCAGGUUUCAGCUCCAUCUAUUGUUUUUUGUAACAAUGGAGAAAAAUGAAAUGUGUUUUUGAUUUUGUUUGCAUUUCCUACUGAGGAAGCAUUAGGGAAUACCAGUUUAUAAAGGUGAAGAAAUAUGAGCAAACAGGAUAAAAAAAAGGCUAGCACAUCACUAAUUGCAGCUCAUUAAGCUACACUGAAUACUUUCCCUACAGCCACAGCUGGCACCACAAACAUCCUCUUGUUCCUGAAAGAACAAGUUGCUGUCCUAGGGAAGGGAAGGGACACAGCAGGACGGACGGCCAAGCCAGAUGCUACUCCAAGUGUCUACAAUGUUCCUCUGUUGUUGGCCAGCUUCAGGAAAAUCAGAUUAUCUGACUUCCAAGGCUUUGCUUUUUAUCCACACUCUCCCCAGCUUUUACCCCUUCAGCAGGCUCUGGACUGGAUGCAAUGUGGUGCUCUUUCCCACAGAGCAUAUUUUCAAACUGCUGCCCCGUGAACCCAAUGCCAAACUGAAGCGUGCCUCUCUCAGGGCAGCUGAGACUGUGACUUGGAGAGCCUGGGAUGUCUUCAGGAACCUGUCUGGGCCCUGCUUUGACUGUCAGACAUAACAGAAACUAGAAGACUUUGAUCACCAACAGGGACCUGCCUCCCUCCUCUCCUCCUCUGCCUCACUCCCUCCUUUGUGAGAAAUUAAAUCUCUUUUCUAGAUAGGAGUGUCUAUCACUCCCCAGUUGCCAGGAUUAAUCCAGACUCUUGCAUUUUAGACUGUUUAAUUUACGUGAGCUGAAUCCCAUCCUCUGUGACUUACUCCAAAAAGGCAAGUCUUAGCUCAAAGGUUUUUAAUGAGUUAAACUCAUUCAAGCCAUUGCUGAGCAUAUAUUCAGGAUGUAAGUUCCCAAAAUAAGCCUUGGUAUACUCAGUCUAUAAAACUAAACUACUUUAGACUGAUGCUUAGAUGAAAUCUGAUAACAGACAAGUAUAAAAGUAAUUUUCUCUCUCCCAUCCCCACUUCUCAUAAAGUGAUAUAACUAUGACAUUUCCGUGGGUGUACACAUUAAAAAAAAUGAAACAAGAGUCUGAGUUAGUACCAGUUGGUACAACUGAUUCUCUAGCAGAUUAAGUCUAUAAUAUUGCCAGCUAAGUGUAGAGAUCUUUAAAUUAAAUGUGGCAGAAUUAGAGAGUGGGACCAGAAAGUAAUGCUUUUUUAUUCCUUUACACUUUUACCUGGAAGUCCUACUGCCAGUGUCAUGCAUCUAGAAAUCCUAGAUGUGAUAAGUACUAAGAGAUGAUUUCAAAUAAAUUAUUCAUUUAUCAUUUAUUUCUUAAAUAAUUAUGGGUUGUCAUUCAUUGAGAUCCACAUCUUGAAAACUUUUCCUGCAAUUAUGGGGAUGGAAAACUUUCUUUUAAGAGCAAAAAAUAGGUGAAGAAGAAAUUUCAAGUUAUAAUUUAAAAAAUAACCAAUUAAUGCAAUAAAAAAAGGAUCUGAGGUGAUAUGGAGUUGAACCUGAACCAGUUUCAUUUAUCCACAAAAGACUUCCCCCUAGUGAAAUGAAAAAAUCCGGCAUCAUCAACAGUUUGGAAUAUGACCUGGUAGAGAAAUCCCAGGCAGCUGCACUGACAUAUCAUGCUGCCAUUGUAAGAUGUAGGAGAAUCCCUCUCUGAAGGACACUGUGGAAGCUGCAGCACAGAGAUAUAGACUGCAAGCUAAAUGUUUCCAGAACAACAGGAAAAACCAAAAGAAAAGUGAGCACUCAUUAAAUAACUUUUAAAAUUAGCUUGGAAUGCCAAAUUGUGGAAAAUAGGAGAUAAUAGCACGAAAACCACUCUCCUCUCCCUCUGCACAAACACUGUGAGAAAGCUUGCUCUUUAAGCACAUAACUAUAUUCCUCCUCUUCCUUUGACCUCAGUCAGAGGAUGCUUGUUUCUAGGGUACCUCACUCUACUUGCCUCUAUGGAUGCAAAGGACUACUAAUGUCAAUCAUGCAUGCUAAAGAAACAGGUUUUGUUGAUACUGCUUGUUAGAGCGGGAUCUUCAUUAAUGCACUCCCAGCCCCUCAAUUCCAUUUCUUUUGUGUCUGCACAGAAGACUAGGCACAUUUUUGGCUCAGUAUCUACAGAUAAUCAGACUCAAUUUGUAAGGGGACAAGCCUGGAGUACACUUGACUUUUGAAACUUGGGAAACAGUGGGACGAUGGGACAAAGCUUUGAAGAGCUGGUUACGCCUGUGCCCCAUCAUGGACAGGGUUGCGGAUGUAUCUGGGCUCCACUGGAAGACCAGCCGUGGACAAAAUGCAAAAAACUCGCCGGGGAAUUGCCAUCACACAUGAGGGAUUUGGAAGCUGCAGCGACGAGCAGGUCCCACCAGGUGGUGCCAUGAAAACAGGAGUUGUCGUCCUUGGUUUGCCGCAGAACCUCCAGCAGGACCUCAGCUCCUCCAAACCCUAGAAAUUUGAGGGGUUUUUAGUUUUGGUUUGGUUUUGUUAUUGUUUUUUAUUUGGUCUGUUUUGUUUGGGGUUUGGGGUUUUUUUUUCUCUUUGAUUUUUUUUUUGGUUGGUUGUGUUUGUUUUUUUUUUUGUUUGGUUUGGUUUUGGUUUUGUUUCUUUUUUAGCAGAAAUCAACCCUAACAAAUAAUUUUUGCAAAUCUGUUUCUGUUCUUUGGAGCUGUAUUCUAUUUUUCAACAAGCAAUGUAAAGCAAUCAUGAAGAAAAAAUAAGAAAGAAACUACUGAUAUAAUUAAUAGCUUUUUGACCCUAUGUCCAUGUAGUUUCUUUCCUCUAGUCCCUGAAUACAUGAGCAUGUAUUCAGUCCUGAGACAAAAGUUUCUGUUGAUGAUUCAGGGUCAAAAAUCUUGGGCUUAUCAGCCAUGAGCAGGAACACUGGUAUUACAAUAAUGGAAAAGUUUUGGGUUUUGGUCGGCAAAUAUCAAGACUGACAGAAUACGGCUUGGGAUAGAAAUAUGUGUAUCUGCAGUCCCAGAGUAGGAGGUAAGCUCUGACAUCCAGUAAUACUCUCUCUUCCUUCCACUUGUACUCACAAUUCUUUUUACUAGCAUGCCCUUCCCCUCUUCCUCUCCUUCCCCCUCCCCCAUCUAACAAUAUUUUUUCAGAAACCAAAAAGGUUAUUGUCAAUCCUUGGCCUUCCAGCUCCUUCCUGAAUUCCCCAAUAGGACUGUUUACUCAUCUAUACCAAGCAUUUGACUUCCUUUCAUUUGACUCACUCCUCCCAGGUGCCUGUCAUCCCUUUAUGGAUACAGCUGAACCUCAGGGCUGAGGAGCCACAAGCUGUAGGAAAAUCUGGUAGUUUUGAAAGCAAGAGAUAAGUACUGAAGUACAGGCAGAAGGUGAGAAGGGAUUCUCAAUGCAUCUCAGUUUAGGGAAGUUCUUUGCAUUAUUUGGAGAUUUGAUACAAAUGAGAGGAAGCGAGGAAAAAACUGACAAGGCCUGAUAGUUUCACCCAGACAGCCCUGAAGUAUAAUUUAAAAAGCUCUAAAAAAGUUAUAUGAAGAAUGUUAAAGUCCAAGAAGCAAUGGCCCACAAUGCAGUUCUCAAAGUUCAGAACUGUCCAAAGAACAACUUCAAAGGCAGUCAGUCCAACUCACAAACGCUGCAAGGGAUCAGCACUCCUACAAAGCGUUAACAUCACGUGCACAUAGCCAUUUUGAAGCAGCACCCUAAAUACUCAGCUGAGGAUUGACAAGAGUUUUCAGAUGCUGAAAGCAAAACCUUUGCACCUGCCUCAGAGCUUCUGGGACACUACCAAGCCCAGGCUCAGUGCAGCUGGCUUGGCUCCACGUCAGAGGAGACCCUUGGAUGAAGGUGCCUGAGACUGAAGGACGGAGAGGCAACGUGCUCAUCUCAGCAGGUUGGAGAGCUGCCUCAGGUUGAGCAGGAUCAUAGCAAGAGGUGCUGCUGACUCAGUUUUGGAUUGCUGAGGCUGGGGCAGUGGGACCUGCUGAAAAUCCCUGUUGUUCAUUUCUGGGGAAUUGCUGCCAAAGCAGGGCACAAAGAACAUGUUUAAUGCCACGGCUUCGUUGUAUGACUGAAUUGUCAGCAUUCUGAGCCCCAAAUGCAGGCUUGUAAUUGAAAGCUCAUUCCCAUAUUACUGUUCUAGUAACAGUAAUGAAACACCCAAGACACUUCUGAAGAAAGGGACAUUUGACUCAGGCCAGGUGCCUAAAGCCUUUU
rnacentral:lncRNA from 1 species